AGAGUUUGAUCCUGGCUCAGAUUAAACGCUGGCGGCAUGCCUUACACAUGCAAGUCGAACGGCAGCACGGGGGCAACCCUGGUGGCGAGUGGCGAACGGGUGAGUAAAGCAUCGGAACGUGCCCUGGAGUGGGGGAUAACGUAGCGAAAGUUACGCUAAUACCGCAUAUUCUGUGAGCAGGAAAGCAGGGGAUCGCAAGACCUUGCGCUCUGGGAGCGGCCGAUGUCGGAUUAGCUAGUUGGUGGGGUAAAGGCCUACCAAGGCGACGAUCCGUAGCGGGUCUGAGAGGAUGAUCCGCCACACUGGGACUGAGACACGGCCCAGACUCCUACGGGAGGCAGCAGUGGGGAAUUUUGGACAAUGGGCGAAAGCCUGAUCCAGCCAUGCCGCGUGAGUGAAGAAGGCCUUCGGGUUGUAAAGCUCUUUCGGUGGGGAAGAAAUUGCAUGGGCUAAUACCCUGUGUAGAUGACGGUACCUGGAGAAGAAGCACCGGCUAA
rnacentral:rRNA from 1 species